rnacentral:lncRNA from 1 species
CAGAGCUCUUAAUUUAAGUAAAAUUCAUUUAUUAUAAAUAAAAUUAUUUAUCGCAUACUUACCGUAGCGAUAUUCCUAAAAUUGACCUAUAGAGUCAAUAAUAUAAACAAUAUCAUAAUUUCAUAUCCAAACAUUUGUAACAACAACUUUCUCAUUUAUCAUGCUACUAGUAUUCAUGGAGAUCUAUAGGGAUGUCCCCACUACGCGUGAACUCUUUUUUCAACAUUUUCAACUAACGAGCCGUCUUCAUACCCCGUCCAGUAUGAGUGUCAAGAAAUAUCUUCCCUCAAUACCCCGUUCGGUAUGAG